AGUCCGUCGACCGGGGUGCCCUUCCAGGGCCGCUCCCGAGCCCUGUGCCUGUGUUUGUUGUUGCAGAAGUGUGAAACGCCGCUCCGUUCAGGUGGCCAGGCGUUCUACGUUACGUACUGGUGUUAGAAAGCUGUUAAGUUUGUGUUAUGUCGUUACGUUACGUUGUACACUGAGCUUUAAGCACUGUUACCGACAUGUUACGUUACGUUAAGUUUGUUGUUACGUUAUGUUUGUUGGUUGUUACGUUGCGACGAAGAAAUCUCUGUUGUUGUUAAGUUUUGGAAAGAAUUCACCUGUUCUGUUUACCCUUUACCACUUUGGCAGUCGAAAAUCAAAAUUCGUUUAUGUUGCGUUAUUGUUAAGUUUACAACCACGUUAAGGUUAAGUUUAUGUUAAGUUUCGACGAGAUGUGUUCAGGUAGCGUGGAAUUUAACAUGAUUCCCUGUACCGUAAUUGUUAUGUUUUUUUUUUCACUUAUUUUGUGUUUAUUUUUAGUUUCAGUUUUUUUUAUUUUCACGUUUUUUCUCCAAAAGAACCACUACAUAAAAAAAAUAAAAAAAAAAAUCGUAAAAGUACACAAAUCCGGGAGUUGGUACGAAAUUGACAGUCAGUAAAUCGUAACGAAUUAGUUAAUAAUAAUAAUUAUAAUUAGGGUGUGUUGUAGACUUAAUUAGGUUAUUUUAGGUUACCAGACCGGUGUUAAAGUUACGUAAUCAAUUACCAUUAGUUAUAGUUAAGUUUAAUUAGGUGUUAGUUCUUUGGUUGCCUUUAGUGCCUUAUUAAUUUUACUAUAAGUUCCAACUUUCUCCCAUUUGAACUUUUACUCAAAGUUCCGAGAACACUUUUUCUUUGACCGCUUCGAGGCACUUUGAGUACCUUUCAUAUGGCAGAACGUUCCACCUUUACUUUCUUAUUUAGUUAGGGGACAGUACACUUGAUUUUGAGUACAAUACUGACAAAAAUAGUUUUCCGACAGUUUGCUUUUGUACGAUCUGCUCUUCUACCACUUUUUGUUUUUUUUUUUGUUAAGUUUUUUUUUUGUUUGUAAAUACUGUACAUAAUAAUACCAAAUAAACCAAAAUUUCCAA